GAAACAUGAUUAUAAUAGCUCUCAUUAAUCUCAUAAUUCUGCAAUAUUCUUCAGGAGCCAGUGAUGUUACACAGAUGCCAAAUAUACUAUGGGUUCCACAGGGCAAAUCUGCACAUAUGAACUGCAGUCAUACUAAGGGUGCAACCUAUCGUUACAUGUAUUGGUUCCAACAACGGCAGCAUGAAUCAAUGAAACUAAUUGCAUUCACUAUGCCAGAGAAGAAUCCAGACUUUGGUGAAUUUUCUGAGGAGAAAUAUUCAGCCAGUAAACCUGCAGCUGAGAGUGGAUCCUUCACAGUGAAAAAGGUGCAGCCUGAUGACAGUGGUGUGUAUUUCUGUGCAGUCAGUGUGCACAGUGACACAGACUUGCUGUACUGCUGUACAAAAACCACAUUAUUAUCCACUUUAUUAUAUUAG